rnacentral:rRNA from 1 species
ACGGAAGGCAGCAGUGAGGAAUAUUGGUCAAUGGGCGGAAGCCUGAACCAGCCAAGUAGCGUGAAGGAUGACGGCCCUACGGGUUGUAAACUUCUUUUGCCGGGGGAUAAAAAACGGGACGCGUCCCGUCUUGCAGGUACCCGUGCGAAUAAGGACCGGCUAAUUCCGUGCCAGCAGCCGCGGUAAUACGGAAGGUCCGAGCGUUAUCCGGAUUUAUUGGGUUUAAAGGGUGCGCAGGCGGCUUUUUAAGUCAGUGGUUAAAUCGUGACGCUCAACGUCAUCACGCCAUUGAUACUGGAGAGCUUGAUUGCGGUCGAGGUUUGCGGAAUUCGUUGUGUAGCGGUGAAAUGCAUAGAUAUGACGAAGAACACCGAUUGCGUAGGCAGCAGACCAGGCCGUAAAUGACGCUCAUGCACGAAAGUGCGGGGAUCGAACAGGAUUAGAUACCCUGGUA